rnacentral:other from 1 species
GAAGUCCUGAUGUGUUCGUUGUAUACCUUGUAUUUUGACCGAACAUUUUUUGAUUGGGAGCCUGCGUUUUUGGAAUGAGUGAAUGCCUUCCUCAGGGAGGACUCGCGAAUUUUCCAAAACAGGGCACCCACCUGCUGAGUGCGGGUUCAAGACAAGGAAUGGACAUGACGGCACGAUUGGGACUAAG